rnacentral:rRNA from 1 species
GGCUCAGAUUGAACGCUGGCGGCAUGCUUUACACAUGCAAGUCGAACGGCAGCACGAAAGAGCUUGCUCUUUUGGUGGCGAGUGGCGAACGGGUGAGUAAUACAUUGGAACGUACCGAGUAAUGGGGGAUAACUGUCCGAAAGGAUGGCUAAUACCGCAUACGCUCUGAGGAGGAAAGCGGGGGACCUUCGGGCCUCGCGUUAUUCGAGCGGCCAAUGUCUGAUUAGCUAGUUGGUGGGGUAAAGGCCUACCAAGGCGACGAUCAGUAGUGGGUCUGAGAGGAUGAUCCGCCACACUGGGACUGAGACACGGCCCAGACUCCUACGGGAGGCAGCAGUGGGGAAUUUUGGACAAUGGGCGAAAGCCUGAUCCAGCCAUGCCGCGUGUCUGAAGAAGGCCUUCGGGUUGUAAAGGACUUUUGUCAGGGAAGAAAGGGUUUGGGUUAAUAUCCUGAGCUUAUGAC